rnacentral:lncRNA from 1 species
CUCGUUCUCACUAAGAGGGGUGUGGGUUUUCAUUGUUUACAGGCAUACCUCAGAGACGUUACAAGUUCUGUUCCAGACCACCACAAUAAAGCAAAUAUUGCAAUAAACAGUACAAGCAUUAGUGAACCAGUGCUGCCAUGAACCAGUCUUGAUACUCCUAACUGGUCUUGCUGUGUCACCCUACAGUCGGUCUUCACAUUACAGCUGGAGGGGUCGUGUUUUUAAAGGCUGCUCCCGCUGAAAUUCGCUGUGAGGACGCUGACUUAUGAAGUAUUUGGUGCCAGAAUUGGCUCCGGGAAAUGACCGUCAAAGAAGCAGCCUUUCCUAUAUGUCUGAGGCCCUGAAAAAUCUGCCUUGCUUGAAGCCCUGAAAAAUCUCUUCUCAGGAUAAUACAUUUUAAGAAAAUGUUGUUCUCCUCAAGAUCUAAUCCCACCUCCUUGUUUUUUUUAGACUGUAAUCAAAGUCAACAGCCCCCAGGGACCAGGUUCAAAUCUGACUCAGGGAGGCAGAGGAGUCUAUAUUAUGUGCAGAAGAAUGCAAAAUGUUUCGGGAACUCGAUGCCAUUCACAACCUCCCAAGUCUUUCCUGGGAAGGCCUCCAACAUUCCUGUGAGCAGGUCCACUCCACCUGCAUCACCAAUGCCGC